GUCCCCUCCCAGAUGCUUGUGCAUCCCCAGCUCCUCACUGGAAGGGCAGUAUGAGAAGUUGAAAAGUCCUUGGCUCUGGUUGAAUUGCUCUCGAGGUCUAAAGAUUUUGGUACAAACUUGAAAUCUCACUCAACCUCUAUGAAAGGUUGACAGGAGUUCCUGUCUGUCCUGAACACUGCUACUUGAAUGACGACUACUUAUUUGGAAUGAAAUGCAGGGGAUGACAGACAUUCCUUCAUCACUAAUAAACUGAAAUGUUUUUCUACCUUGUGGACAACCAAAAACUUCACUGAAUGUUCAAGUUGUAUACUUUUCUCCAGUCGUAUAUUCUAAUGGGAAUAUUAUUGAGAAGUCUCUCCAAAGUUUAUAGCACUGCAAAAUAAGAUAAUUGUAGGAUUAUGAAAGAUGGCAGAAGUGUUUCUCUCCAUAGGGCAUGAUUGCCCUAGCAAAGAACAGUUCAAAACCACACCUUUCAGCCAGCAGUGCUUCCAGAUCUACCAAGACAGAAAAUUGCAGACUUAUUUCUGACUGGGAGAUCUUGUUCUCCUCAUUUGUUGCUGGGAUGACCCAGCCUUAAGAUGGCCAAGCACAGAAGAAGCAACUUCAAGAUUAAUGUAACAAAAUAGAAGCUGAUAGGAUCUGAA